rnacentral:lncRNA from 1 species
GCCUUUUCUAGGGCCGCUCCCACGGCAUAUGGAGGUUCCCAGGCUAGGGGGCGAAUCAGAGCUGUAGCCACCAGCCUCACGGCAACACCAGAUCCUUAACCCACUGAGCAAGGCCAUGGAUUGAACCCGCAACCUCAUGGUUCCUAGUCGGAUUCAUUAACCCCUACACCACGUGACGGGAACUCCAAGGCUUCUUUACUUCUUGAUUUAACAAUUUCAGAUGAUCUCUACUUGCUCCUGAUAAUGGCAAACGAGGAAAUCCGAAUACCUAUACUUCUUUCCAUUUCUGCUCCCUUAUCCCCCUCCCAAUGAUGUAAAGCACCCAAGUUGAUUAUAUUCUGAUUCACUCCUGUGACUGUAAUUCCCACUGCUGUCUUGUCUUAGUCCUGGGUUUAGAUUUAAAUAGAUUCUAUGUGUAUCACCAAUCUUUUUAUACCACCGCCUUCUCUGUUCCCGGAUUCCAAUUUUAUUAUCAUUUUUUAUUACUUCAUCAUAGAGCAAUUGUAUUUAAAAAAAAAAUGGCUCAGGAGCGCUUAUUUCAUUGAGACAAGAAAUCCAGGUAAAAAAACAAUUUACUUGGAGGUAACAUUCUCACAUCCUUUAGCUAUUAAACCACCGUUUUCUGGGUUUUAAUGUGGUUUUAAUGUGGUCACAGGAAUCUGUGAGGCGAGUCUGAAUGUCGUCCUCGAAAAAAAAAGCUUUACCUUACUAUUACUGUUGUUGUUUGCACUAUUGUCGUUAUCAUCCCCCUCCUCACCAUCUGGACGCCCCAAAGGCUCUUCUUUAUCCUUAAAGUUUCGCUCUUUACCAAAUACAUCUUAGUGUGUUGAUUUGGGGGGGCAAUAUUUUUCCAACCUUGGCAUGUUGAAACUGAAGGUGCAGGCCAUCCUUUAGUUCAAAAUAAUUUCCUUUGCAGCCUCCCUUGUCUCCUUUCUCUUUCUCGUUCUCUUGUUCCUGAUUAUGUACCUCUGGGGGUCUCUCUAACCAGCCUUUACCUCUUGCUUUUUCUCCAUUUGACUUGGGUUCAUUUUCUUAGGCCCAGUCUCCAAAUUCCUGAUGCAUUUCUGCAAUGUCUUUUUCCACUUCUUGCUGCUUCUAGCAUAACAUUUCUGAAAUUAUUUUGUCUGUAAGGGGUUUUCUUCCGUUUACUAGCCUAAUUUUCAUCUUCUCUGUGAUGUUAUAUUUUGAUAUCUCAUGACUUGCCUUUGAGUUUUUUCUCAAAGAAUUCAUGUUCUCGCUCAUUUCUUUGAGGCUGUAAAGGAUCUGCCUGGAAAGUUCUUUCAUCGACUGGAGCAAUCUUUAUCAGAUGUGUG